AUAAAAAGUAAAAAACUAAAUUCUAUAUCUGAUAAUAGAAUGUGUUUCUUUGACAUUAUUCAUGUUUUUCUCACAGUUCUCUCCUUAUGAUUUUUUAACCUAGGAUAUUGUUGAAGAGAUUGAAGCAGAGUAUAACAUUUUAGUUAUAUGGGAUUUAUUUUAAGAAGGGAAAAAUAAGUAGAGAUGGGUGAAGUGUCAUAGCAUUAUUUCUGAGGGUGGAAAUUUGAGGAGUGAUCCUGUAAUGACUGUGUACACAUAAUGUUGACAUGAUCAAAUGCUUUAAAUGCUUCUUCAUGUACUCCUGACUGAUAAUGUCCCUAGUUGAAUGCUGUUCCCAGAUCUGGCCUUGUCAUCUUAAGAUACACAUCAGGACUGGGCAAGGUGACCAUACACCUGUAAUCUCAGGCUGGGGAGGCUGAGGCAGGAGAAUUGAUAGUUCAAAGCCAACCUCAGCAAAAGUGAGGCACUAAGCAACUCUAAAUAAAAAUACAGAAUAGGCUUGGGUAUGUGACUCAGUGUUUGAGUGGCACUGAGUUGAAUCUCUGUUACCUACCCCCCAAAAAAUAUACAUAUCAGGAAAUUAAACAUCUACAAAGACUUCUAAAGAUUAGAAGGAAAUGAAUCCACAAUGAAAAACUAAAAAAAUUGAUAUCAUUUUUCCUGCAGAAAACAAGAUAAAGGGGAUUUUGUUACAAUAUAUAUUGAUUCAUUUACAUUUUGCUCAAUUAACAUGUGAUCAAGUAAGUGCCAGGUGCUCGGGUAUAAGAGAAAGUUAAUGUUAAGUGAGAUUUCCUUUGUCAGAAAUAGCUGCAGUUUUUUUCUGUCUUUAUUGAAUGCUAAUGACUUAAACUACAGGUACUAGAUAUUUAUGUCUAUGAAGAAGUAAACUUACUAAUAAUGGUGUUGACACUGAACAAAGCUUCUAAAAUGUAAUAUUUUCAAAAACCUUGU
rnacentral:lncRNA from 1 species